GAUGAACGCUGGCGGCGUGCCUAAUACAUGCAAGUCGAGCGAACAGACGAGGAGCUUGCUCCUCUGACGUUAGCGGCGGACGGGUGAGUAACACGUGGAUAACCUACCUAUAAGACUGGGAUAACUUCGGGAAACCGGAGCUAAUACCGGAUAAUAUAUUGAACCGCAUGGUUCAAUAGUGAAAGACGGUUUUGCGGUCACUUAUAGAUGGAUCCGCGCCGCAUUAGCUAGUUGGUAAGGUAACGGCUUACCAAGGCAACGAUGCGUAGCCGACCUGAGAGGGUGAUAGGCCACACUGGAACUGAGACACGGUCCAGACUCCUACGGGAGGCAGCAGACGGGAAUCUUCCGCAAUGGGCGAAAGCUUGACGGAGCAACGCCGCGUGAGUGAUGAAGGUCUUCGGAUCGUAAAACUCUGUUAUUAGGGAAGAACAAAUGUGUAAGUAACUAUGCACGUCUUGACGGUACCUAAUCAGAAAGCCACGGCUAACUACGUG
rnacentral:rRNA from 1 species